GACGAACGCUGGCGGCGUGCUUAACACAUGCAAGUCGAACGGAGUGGCGAACGGUUGAGUACCACGUGGGUGACCUGCCCGGCACUUCGGGAUAAGCCUGGGAAACUGGGUUGAAUACCGGAUAGUGUGGGAUGGGCCCGCGGCCUAUCAGCUUGUUGGUGGGGUAAUGGCCUACCAAGUCGGCGACGGGUAGCCGGCCUGGGAGGGUGGACGGCGACAUAGGGACUGAGAGACGGCCCAGACUCCUACGGGAGGCAGCAGUGGGGAAUAUUGCACAAUGGGCGGAAGCCUGAUGCAGCGACGCCGCGUGGGGGAUGACGGCCUUCGGGGUGUAAACUCCUUUCACCAUCGACGCGGUAGAUGGAGAAGAAGCACCGGCUAACUACGGUCCAGCAGCCGCGGUAAUUC
rnacentral:rRNA from 1 species